GCUAAUGUCCUUUAUUUAUCCACAAAAACAGGUACAGCCCAAGCAGCGGCACUGAGACCUUCCCUACACACUGCCCUGCAAAAGUGCCUUAACUCUGAGCUGCAGAGACCACUUCUCUACCCAUUCAGUCCGGGGUCCAUCAGC
rnacentral:sRNA from 1 species